GAUGAACGCUAGCUACAGGCCUAACACAUGCAAGUCGAGCGCGCGGAGGACGGGGGAGGAAUGUCUGGGAAAAUGUCUGUUGUAGGGGGAUAACACCUGGAAACGGUAGCUAAUAACGCAUACCCUCAGAUGUGCUCAGAGGGGAUUAGCUAUUGGGUGGGGUAACGGCUCACCUAGGCGACGAUCCCUAGCUGGUCUGAGAGGAUGACCAGCCACACUGGAACUGAGACAAGGUCCAGAUGCCUACGGGAGGCAGCAGGGGGGAAUAUUGCACAAUGGGCGCAAGCCGGAUGCAGCCAUGCCGCGUGUGUGAAGAAGGCCUUCGGGUUGUAAAGCACUUUCAGAGGGGAGGCGUUACCCGCAGAAGAAGCACCGGCGAACUCCGUGCCAGCCGCCGCGGUAAUUC
rnacentral:rRNA from 1 species